GGUACUCAAAUAAAAUUCAAAGUUUCAUGAGAAAUAAAACAGAUAAAUAUGCUUUGGAAGAAGACUUUAAAUCCUGUAUUACGGAGAGUCAUUAAUCAGCUUACUAAAUGUGCUCCUCAAACCCCAUUCCAGAGCGUGUGUCACUUGUGUUAUAGAAACUCAAGGCGUGGUUUUAGAAUAUAUAAUUUUGAUUAUUUUAGCGUACAUGCAUACAUUAAAAUAUUCUGAGCUACAUGUGAACAAUAAAUAGAAAGUCAUUUCACAGAAUUUGGAAAGAUUUUUCUAAGUUGUUUCAUUUUUUUCAAGAUUUAAUAUAGCUUUAUGAGACAGGCUACCUCAGCUGUCAACGUAUACAAUGAAAUCAACUUGCAAAGUUCAAAAUAUUCAAAAGAUACAUUUAGAUCAUUUUGAUUAUAUUUAAAUAAUGUUAAAUUUAAUAGCUAAAUUAAUUAUUUAAAAAUCUUGGGCUGAUACUGGAAUAACAUUUAUAAUCAUUCAAACACGAUUUUCUAUGGAAUUUACAUUAUCUCACAAAUACAGCUAUGUAAAUUGUUUUGAUGUCUGGUACUAGUACAGGAUUUCCAUACCCAAUGAUGCUAAAAAAAAAAAUCAAAGAAUUCCCAUCUAAAAUCAACAUAUACUGGCCCCAAAAUGAUAGGCAGAAAAUUAUUGUUCAGCUUGGAAUUGUAUAUUUGUGGUCUUAGAAAUUCUGACAUGCAUUUUACAAACUCCUCUUUGGUAGCUCUGACAUUUUAUCAGUUUCAAAGUGAAAACUUUGAUGGAAAAAGCUGGUGUCCUCUGAAUCACGGACACAACGAUGCUAAUAACGAUUACGGCUAUUGUUUCCUGAGCAGCCACGACCUGCCGGGCACUGUGACAAGGGCUUUGCACCCAUAAACUCUAAUCCUUGGCACAAACCUGAAGGGUGGUAACAUUGUGCCCAGUCUACAAAUGAGGCAAACUAAGGCCCAGAGAGGUUAGGUGGUUUCUGAGAGUCACACGCUGGUCACUGGCAGGGCCCCAGUCUCUUUGAUUCAAAAGUAGGUUCUCUUCCUUCACAUUUUCACUACUCAUGGACAAAGGAGUCUGUGGCACUCCGUGAACAUCAAGAUUAUAGGAGUUUCUCUUGAAAUAUUCGUGUUUUCUCUUGGACUUAUGAUAACCCUAAAAAUAAAAAAUAAAAAACAGAGCUAAGGUGGAGACUGGCAGUAAAAUAAGGACCCAUGUCAAAUUUACGUCCAAAACAUUUAGCGUAACGAUUUGGUAGACUAUUUUAUAUGUAAUUAGAAGGUUAACCAAACUCUCAGGAAGCCUAUAACUGUCUGAAGAUAACCUCUUACAAAUUCUCAACCAAGUAAAACACGCACACAUGGGAAGCUGGCAAAAAAAAAACAAAAAACAAAAAUCAAAUAGAGUUCAAACACCUCAUUUCAUUAAAAGUUUUCUUAACUAACUGGAAUGUUUCCUUCGAUUUUCUCUUUGUAUUCUACAGCUAUAUUAUGAAAUUGCCUUUUAAUUCCCCAUAUGGGGAUUAUUUAAUCAUGCCUUUACCAGCUGUGAACAUAGCUUCUCUCCUGAUAACAGUUUAUUUUUAAAGGAAAUUGCCUUUGAAGAAAAUAUUUUGACAUUAUGCAGGAAAAUAAAGAGUUCAUCGGAAGAAACCGAAAAAAAAAGGCUAAAACAAAGAUCACAAAAAGAAUGAGUCAGUCUGUGGGGAAAAAAGAGGAUAGUGGCUACAUAAAGAUAAAACAAAACCAGCCACUCACGAGGAGGGAACAAUGGGCUCCUUCCACAUGAACAAAACUGACCGGCGGCCCGUUUUCCCCAUGCUCCACGGGUGUUUUGAUGUCCUUCAGACACAGUCAGGUAUCCAGACUCGAGUGUCCUCUGGGUCCUUCACUAGUUCUCUCUCGGAUCCCAGACACUGUCUUGAAUAUGUUGUGGUGCGCAAGUAAUCUUCAGAUCUUACACAUUGUUCAACAACUUUCACUUUUAGGCAUGUAAGGAAGGGAGGGACCUUAAACUUGGAGGGACUCUGGCAGAGACAAGGUGUAAAGGGACCUCCUCAGGCAGCAAAGGAAAGGAAAGUUAGAGAGAAGAAAAAGGAAUGCCUCUGGUCUUCCAUUCCUGGGUGCAGACUCACCAGAACCAUGGAACGGGGGACAGUAGGGAGAAAGGCAUUAACGGAGGACACAAGGGGAGUGCGGAGGCAGUGCGGAGGAAAGGAACUUUUUGCCAAGGCUGUAAAGCAGCAUCUCAACCUGCGCACGGCUGACAUGCUGGACUCGACAGCUCUUUGCUGUGAGGCUGCCCUACGCAUGCAGAACGUUCAACAGCGUCUCUCGCCUCUACCCACUAGAUGUCUGGAGCACCCCCACCACCACACUGGUGACAACUAAAACUGUCUCCAGACAUUGCCAGAUGUCCCUGGGAGACCAAAUCACCCUAGAUAAGAAGCACUGCUAUAAAAGAAACCAGCAUGGGGAGGUUCUGAGCCAACCAGAAAUCAGCUCACGGUCAUUUCUACACCAUCCCGCCCCUGCCCCGGGAGACGGUCUCAUUCUCAUUCCACAUUUAUUAAGCACCUACUUCAUUUUCGAUUCUGUGCUGGAUGCUGGGGAUUCUCCGUUGGGAAAGACUGUAUCCUUGCCUUCAUAGAAGCUAUAAUUCAGGAGGAGAGAUAGAAGAGUGUGCAAGAGGCAACACCAUAAAGGAUGGAAAACCAUCAUGCAGCCUGGAGAUCCUGCGCGAGCAAGGAGGGACAAAACCAAAGUGAAAGCAGACAGAAGGGCUUGGUGACUAAAGACAAUGCUUGGGCUGGAUUUCAAAGGGUAAGAGUUUACCUGGUGGACAAAAAGACGAAGGGAGGAGAAAUGCUA
ensembl:lncRNA